rnacentral:rRNA from 1 species
ACGGGAGGCAGCAGUGAGGAAUAUUGGUCAAUGGGCGAGAGCCUGAACCAGCCAAGUAGCGUGAAGGAUGACGGCCCUACGGGUUGUAAACUUCUUUUGCCGGGGGAUAAAAAACGGGACGUGUCCCGUCUUGCAGGUACCCGUGCGAAUAAGGACCGGCUAAUUCCGUGCCAGCAGCCGCGGUAAUACGGGAGGUCCGAGCGUUAUCCGGAUUUAUUGGGUUUAAAGGGAGCGCAGGCGGAGAGGCAAGCCAGCCGUAAAAUCGUUGAGCUCAACUCAAUCUCGCGGUUGGAACUGCCUCCCUUGAGUGCACGAGAGGAUGGUGGAAUUCGUGGUAUAGCGGUGAAAUGCAUAGAUAUCACGAAGAACUCCGAUUGCGAAGGCAGCCAUCUGGCGUGUUACUGACGCUCAUGCUCGAAGGCGCGGGUAUCGAACAGGAUUAGAUACCCUGGUA